rnacentral:misc_RNA from 1 species
AAAAUAAUUUUGAAAUUAUAAGUUGUUUUCUGUGUAUGUUGCAUUGCUGGCGCUACUCCGAGACACCAAAAAAAAAAACCCCACUAUUUCCAAAUUAUUUCGUUUUCUUUUGUUUUCACAAAACUUUCCGUGGAAGAAAACUUGAUGUGAACAAUGCGUCUACCUGUUUACACAGUGUGAAAAAAUAUCCUACUGUUUUGAUGUUAAUUACUUUUGUUUUCAAAGCAGGAAAAAUUAUCACUUUGUGGGGAACUUAACAGGAAAAAUAAGCGCAUCCAGCUGGCUUUACGUAAACAUUUUUGUUAGCAAAUACUUGAGGAAUGGUAAAUGGUAAAGCUGAAUUACUUGCGUAUCAUGACAGUCAACUCUCAAAACUUUAUCAGCUUUGAACAUCUCUUACAUCCAUAUGCUGCUGACUGUACAAUUUCUUUUUCUAGUACUUUGUGAGAAAUGCAGCUCGGCAGACUACAACAUUUAUUUUAUUUUCUCAGCAUCUGUCUUAAUCAAGAUGCUGUGCAUACUAACAGUUUUGAUGAAUGUUGCUGCACCUGCACUUGCAGCAGUAUCUUCCAGUUGUGCUGCACUUCAAGAUCCUACAGUGCAAUAUUUUGAUCUUCGUCUUCCAAACAUGGAUGUGCCAAGCACUUCAUUAACAACCUACAUAUGCAAAGCAUUUGAGAUUCCUCUUCCAAAAGAUCAAGAAUACCAUGCAGUAGCCUUUGAGCCUCUGAUAGCAAACAAGGCUGUGAUGCAUCACAUGAUUCUCUUCAGCUGUUCUGGAAUGGCAGAUGAGAUGUUUGAAAAACACCAGUGUGGAAGUAAUGAUAACCACUGCAGAACAUGGAUGGCACAAUGGUCAAUGGGUAUUGAAGGGGUUAUCUGCUCUCACAAUCAAGCUGGUGUUCGCUUUGGAGGCAGUGAGAGUUCUCAACUUCUGCUACAGAUCCAUUGGAAUAAUGAAGCUCUCAAGUCUGGUCUUACUGAUAACUCUGGCAUGCGAGUAUACUUCACCUCCAAGUUGCGUCCAUACAACCUUGGCCAUGUUCAGGUGGGUCAGCAAGAUGUGGAAAUCCCACCGGGUGCGUUGCGCCAUGCUGUGAGUGGGGGCUGCAGUGGGCAGUGUACUCAACAGCUUCUGCCACACCCCAUUCACCUGACAUCGGCACACAUCCACAUGCAUUACCUUGGUGCAGGAGGUUGGCUGGAAGUAGUCCACAGCAAUGGUACAACAACACAAGUUUUGUUUGAUGAUAGCUACGAUUACAACCACCCUGUUUUGCAUGUCCUUGACAACAUAGUAACUGUUCUACCUGGCGACUACCUGCGCUUGACGUGCCUUUUCAGCUCAAAGGAUGGUGCCCAGAAGAGAACUCAGACUAUUUACUUUGGUGAGGGAUCUGAUAUUCUGAAUAUUUGUACUGCAUUAGUCGGGGUCAGCAAGACAUAAUCUCUCAUUUUCUACCCGCUGCUCAAGAGGCUUGCAACAACCAUGAAACUGACAUCUCUUGUGAUCUUAAGAGCACUUGUGUACAAGCUAUGAAUUCUCUGUAUGAUCACAAAUGUAUGCAGGGUCGAAUUGGUCACUACUUCAAGACUCGCAUCCUGCCAUCGUUACCCAGUUGGAAGCAGACUGCUGUUGUACAGGAUCAUUAUAUCAAGCAGUGCACUCAGUCGACCAUAAUGUAACAUUUGAUAAAGAACACAUUUUUUUCCCAUUCAUUUAUCACAUCAUGCAGUGUUGUCAACAAGCUAUAUGUACAAACACAAUACACACAGAAAAUAUACAUUUUUCUUUCAAAAAUAAACUGAACAUCAAUUUGACAGAAAUGCUGCCAACUCCAGAACAUAAUAGUACAUUUACCGACAUGAUUUCUACCAGCCACACGCAACAGAAAGCAUAUCCAAUUAUCACUUACACUUUUAAAAAAAAUCACAGGUCCAAUAAAACAAA